rnacentral:rRNA from 1 species
CCCUAUUAUUUUUAAGUGUUAAUUUUAUUUUUCCUAGGUAGUAUUAGUUAUGUUCUUGAAACCUAAAGAAUUUGGCGGUACUUUAUUCCGAUUAGAGGAAUCUGCCCUGUUAUCGAUAAUCCGCGUUGUACCUUACUUAGUUUGUUUGUUUGUAUACCGCCGUAUAUUGAUUAUCAUUUUAGUGUUUUAAAUUUUCUUGAUUCAUAAUUUUGCUUUAUUUCAGGUCAAGGUGCAGCUUUUAUCUAAGUGUGAGGUGGAUUACAUUGGUUUUUUGUUUAUUGGAUUAUUUGUUGUUAAAUUUGUAUGAAAUUGGAUUUGAUUGUAAUGUUUGGAUGAAGAUUGUUCUCAUGAUAAUUGGUUCUAAGGUAUGUACACAUCGCCCGUCGCUCUCAUUUUUAUUAAUGAGAUAAGUC